rnacentral:rRNA from 1 species
GUCCACGCCGUAAACGAUGGGCACUAGGCGUCGGGGGGAGCGACCCCCUCGGUGCCGUCGCUAACGCAGUAAGUGCCCCGCCUGGGGAGUACGGCCGCAAGGCUGAAACUCAAAGGAAUUGACGGGGGCCCGCACAAGCGGUGGAGCAUGUGGUUUAAUUCGAUGCAACGCGAAGAACCUUACCUGGGCUUGACAUGCUGGUGAAAGCCGGUGGAAACAUCGGCCCCUCUUCGGAGCGCCAGCACAGGUGCUGCAUGGCUGUCGU